rfam:Triticum aestivum genome assembly, contig: Triticum_aestivum_CS42_TGACv1_scaffold_424794_5BS
UUUGUACUCCCUCUGUCCCAAAAUUCUUGUCUUAAAUUGUCUAAAUACGGAUGUAUCUAGUUACAUUUUAGUGUUAGAUACAUCCGUAUCUAAACAAAUGUAAGACAAGAAUUUUGGGACGGAGGGAAUACUAC